CAGUCGCCACGGGAAUACGGAGGGUGCAAGCGUUAAUCGGAAUUACUGGGCGUAAAGCGUGCGUAGGCGGUUCGUUAAGUCUGUUGUGAAAGCCCCGGGCUCAACCUGGGAAUGGCAAUGGAUACUGGCGAGCUAGAGUGUGUCAGAGGAUGGUGGAAUUCCCGGUGUAGCGGUGAAAUGCGUAGAGAUCGGAAGGAACAUCUGUGGCGAAGGCGACUAUCUGGGCCAACACUGACACUGAGGUACGAAAGCGUGGGGAGCAAACAGGAUUAGAUACCCGCGUAGUCCCUGUCUCUUAUAC
rnacentral:rRNA from 1 species